rnacentral:ncRNA from 1 species
CAAAGGUUUGGUCCUGACUUUAUUAUCAGCUUUAGCCCAGCUUACACAUGCAAGUCUCCGCAGCCCUGUGAGGAUGCCCUCACUCCCCCGUCCGGGGACGAGGAGCCGGUAUCAGGCACAAUUGCAGCCCAAGACGCCUUGCUUAGCCACACCCCCAAGGGAACUCAGCAGUGAUAGACAUUAAGCCAUGAGUGUAAACUCGACUUAGCCAGGGCUAAGAGGGCCGGUAAAACUCGUGCCAGCCACCGCGGUUAUACGAGAGACCCUAGUUGAUACCUCCGGCGUAAAGAGUGGUUAUGGGGGACCAAAACUAAAGCCGAAGACCCCUUAGGCCGUCAUACGCACCUAGGGGCUCGAACCCCUAAAACGAAAGUAGCUUUAACCCUUUCCACCAGAACCCACGACAGCUGGGACACAAACUGGGAUUAGAUACCCCACUAUGCCCCGCCGUAAACUUAGAUAGUUCAAUACAAUAGAUAUCCGCCCGGGGACUACGAGCGCCAGCUUAAAACCCAAAGGACUUGGCGGUGCUUCAGACCCCCCUAGAGGAGCCUGUUCUAGAACCGAUAACCCCCGUUCAACCUCACUACUCCUUGCUUUUCCCGCCUAUAUACCACCGUCGCCAGCUUACCCUGUGAAGGCACUACAGUAAGCAGAAUGAGUACUUCUCAAAACGUCAGGUCGAGGUGUAGCGUACGAAGUAGGAAGAAAUGGGCUACAUUACCUAAAAUAGGUAAAUUACGAACGGCCAUCUGAAACCGAUGACCCGAAGGUGGAUUUAGCAGUAAAGAAGGAAUAGAGUGCCUUCUUGAAGCCGGCUCUGAAGCGCGCACACACCGCCCGUCACUCUCCCCAACAACCGCACACACCAGAGUAAAUAACAAACUUAUGGCCACAAGGGGAGGCAAGUCGUAACAUGGUAAGUGUACCGGAAGGUGCACUUGGAGUAAC